CGCACACUGGGUGCCACGGGCCUGGCUACGACAGUGACAACAGUACACACCAAACUCUGAGGGAGGAGGAGGAGGAAGAAGAGGAGGAAGCCCCCAGCGGUGCAGGAUCUCUCCGUAGCACUUCUUAAAGUCAUCAAACUGCAAGGUGUUGGCUGGGUCCAGGAGCCUAGCCCCAACGACACCACAGGACAGCAAGAGUGGUGGUGGUGGUGGAUUCAGAGGUGCUGGAGCAUGAGCCGGAGGUCACAGAGCUGGACGUGUAGCUGGGCUGAGAGGAG